UAACGCGAAGAACCUUACCAAGGCUUGACAUAUGCCGUUUAUCCCUAGAGAUAGGGAGUCCUUCGGGGCGGUAUACAGGUGGUGCAUGGUUGUCGUCAGCUCGUGUCGUGAGAUGUUGGGUUAAGUCCCGCAACGAGCGCAACCCUCGUUCUAUGUUGCCAGCGCGUAAUGGCGGGGACUCAUAGGAGACUGCCGGGGUCAACUCGGAGGAAGGUGGGGAUGACGUCAAAUCAUCAUGCCCCUUAUGUCUUGGGCUUCACGCAUGCUACAAUGGCCGGUACAAAGGGCUGCAAUACCGCAAGGUGGAGCGAAUCCCAAAAAGCCGGUCUCAGUUCGGAUUGAGGUCUGCAACUCGACCUCAUGAAGUCGGAGUCGCUAGUAAUCGCAGAUCAGCAACGCUGCGGUGAAUACGUUCCCGGGUCUUGUACACACCGA
rnacentral:rRNA from 1 species